CGGUUUGUCUGUGUGGCACAGCAAGUGUCACUGAACAAUGGCAGCAACACAGCCAACAUGCCACCUAUGUCUGUCCCUGUAGCUGUGUGGUUAGAGAGACUGAUAGCUACGUAGGGUCCCAGGUGCAAUUCCUUGCCAAGUCGGAGAGUCUAUCCUCUCGGGGGCUGGGUUAUGUGUUGCAUUUCAAAAUAAGGUAAAAUUGUGAUAAUGGCAAAUCACCAAAGUGGUAUCAUCUGGUGAAGACUUGCAGUAGGCAACCGAAUGGUCCUGCACAGGAUCUCCCAGACAGAAAUGCCACAUCGUCAUUUCUUUUCACUCUAGGGCUGUAGAGUAAGCAUUGAGUAGCUGUGUAUACUAUGAUGCAUUAUCAUGACUGUCACCUAGCAUGGCAAUACAGUAUGCCGCUGUAAUGGUGUCAACAGUGUUGUGUAGUUUGUCUGCUCCAAUGGAUGGUGGUGUAUGAGAAAUAGACUUGUCAGGAAGGCCAGUCGGACCUCUGUACCCCAGGUUUGCAUUUUGGCCAGUGGAUAUUUGGAGCAAAUCCAGUAAUACUCAGGGAUGGUGCAUGGUCAACAACAGCAUCGCACUGAGUCUUAAUCACAAUCAUCACUGCCCAGCUUGACAUGGGAGCGGAUUGACCUAGGAGUGCUAACAUUCUUGGCUGGUGGCAAAAGCAGCGUCAAUUGCUGGCCAUGCAUAAUAUCCCACAUAUCAGCAGAACUGCCAUACCAGAGGCUGGUGAAGAAGAAAGAAAGAUUGACGUUUGUUUCUGACGACUUCACCUUUGACAGGAUGUCAGAGCACAAGCUCUGGUACAGAGGACAGAGAAGAAAAUCAGCCUUGGCCUUUCAAGGGAACUAUCCCAGCCUUUUCCUUGAGUGAUUUAGGGAAAUAAUGGAAAACCUAAAUCUGGAUGGCAGGACAUAUAAGAGAACCAACAUGUUCCUGAAUAGGAGACCAAUGUGCUAUCUAAUGUGCAAUAAACCUUCAUCCAGAAGUGUUCUCAGUAACUUGUUGGUUAAUUCUGUAUCAGGAACUGCCAUGGGUAUGCAGCUUGAGGAAGUGCAAGUUUUCUCUUGUGACUCGUUUGUGGGCUAAUGAAAGAGAUACCACUACUGCUGUGAACAGCACCUACAUUAGCCUUCAAUGAAAUCAUCAUUUUGUUAGCCAGCCGAACUUCAGUAGCUGACAUACCAGAAACAAUAGAAAUAAUUUUUCUCUUCUCUUCAGCCAAUACUUCUCAGGCAUAGGAACUAACUUGCUUCAGAAUCACUUCUCUCUCAUUAAUGAAAGAGACAUAUCUCCAACAUUUGUAACUAGUACAUCUGGUAACUCAGAAAUUUCAAACAGAUUUUCUUCUGUACUCGCUAGUUGGCAGACAUUAUAUGCUUGCACAUAUUUAACUUAAUGCUAUAGUAAAUACACGUGCAGGAAUACCUGUGACUGCACACUUUACAGUCAGUGCACACUAAUUUACAGUUACAUGAAGUUUAUCUUGUAGAAGAAAAUAUUAUUCACUGUGACUUUGUGGCUGGUACUUCCAACCAUCUGCCUACAUUCCUACUUGAGUCCUUAUUCAUAAAAAAAAUACUGGAUUUGUGCUUACAGUGAAUGCUUAUCAUUUUACUUGUUAGUUUUUCUUUCAAAUCGACAAUGAGCUCAUCAAACAGCUUUGCUGUUACAAACAACAUCAAUGCAGAUAGACCUUUAUCCAAAUAUUUCACCUGCUUUGCAUUGGCAUGUAUAUAUUUCAAUGUCUUAUGCAUUCUCUCCAGGUGCAUGUUUGUGUUGAGUCCGGCUCUCCUAUGACAAUAUCCCAACACUUCACAUUUUUUUCAUAAUACUUCUUAAAGUAGUGACCAAAUUCUGAAGUCUCUGAAUCGCUGUUGAGUUUCUGCAAUGCUUUUACCAACGAUUCUUGAAACACAGCAACGUCUCUUACCUGCAUUAACGACUUAACAAGUUUGUACACCUUGUUUCUCUUGUCCAAAUUUUGAAUUUUCCACUUAUUAUUUGUCUUCCAGGCUCUAUCGACAUGCCUGGUACAGAAAAGUCUCAUUUUAGGGGGUCCAAUUGUUUUGUUCCAAGCGGUAGUAUACGAUUCUGCCAGGUCUGUCAUGAAUACUUUUGGGGAAAUAUGUCCAACCUGAGAUCUGUUCAACUGAGACUUAACACAACUGAAAAAUAUACUCAAACAUCUGAGUCAUUCCUGUUAGAUAUGAGGAAAGCACAUGGAAAUCCAUGCCUCAUAUCAUCUGGUACAAGUACUGUGGUAACUUGAAAAUCAUAGCCAUUUAGGCCAUGAGUUCCAUCAACACAAAUACAAUCACUUCCAUAUUUAGCUAAUAUUUCAUUAUAUUGUUCAUUAUAAUUAACACAAAGUCUUCACUUCUCAUUUGAGGUUGUAGAUCAUUAAUUGUUUCUUGAGGCUUAUAGAACAAUACACAUGGAUUUUCAUUUUGCUGCACUUGCUCCCAACUGUCACUGCUGAUCACAUCAUUUGGUUGUUUGAAGACAGGUUUUAUGCAGCUACAAAGUCAGUCAAUGUUAUGCAAAUCCUGCAUCAAUGUAAGAUGCACUCUCCCGAAAUUCUCAAAAUUUGAAUUCUGCACUGUUUCUUGAAUUUUAUGGACAGCAGGAAACGGGAUUCCUGCAGCAAUGUCUUCAGCUAUCUUCAUCUGUUCUUUUUCUGUCAAAUUCAGAUGACUUAGGUCCAGAUGGUGACCAACAUGAAUGGACAGAAAAUUAACAUGGCAGUUUCCUUCCUUGCAUUAGACUUAAAUCUCUUCAGGCAAUUUCCAUUGAUUUUGUUGCUCCUGUCAAUUUUAGAUGGCUGCGCCCAUCACCUUUGGAGAUAAACUGACCUGAGAAAUGGCAAAUAUAAUAGCUAGUGCCAAAGCUUUUAACAAAUUUGAAAUGUGUUGCACAUUCCAUUUUAAAAAUUCUUCUUCACUGGAGAAUUCUAGGCUUCUGGUUUCACACAUAAUGCUUGUGCAGACUGGAAAGAUCCAUCCAGCACUUUUUAGAAUUGGUUUCGAAUGCACACAUCGUACGCUCGAACCUUUUCUGUUGUAGUUCAUCAAGAAUAUUUUGUUGAUGGCAUUUUAAACUGCCUUUACAAGUAAAAUCCUUGUCGCAUAAAUAGCAGUGGCAGGUACACUAACGUUCAUUACUUGUAACAGAAGGCAUCAUUUCGCUCAGUUUCUGUAGGUGGACUGUGGAUAUAUGCCUUUCAGAGUCUUGCAGUAACUGUACUCGUUUCCGCAAAUUUCACAUUUAAAAGCUGUCAUUUUAAAACACUAUUACAACAUACAGAUACAAGUGGUAAGAACAGCCACAAUGUACAAUAUCUCUUUAAAUCAACUGCUUAGUUCAUGGUUCAAUACUAGAAAUAAGACUAAUCUACAGUAAAGAUGUAAAUGUAGUUACUUUGGUGUAGAAGGUGUUCAUUGUUCAAGAAUACACCAUAUAAAUAACUUGUCUCUUCAAAAUAUGUAACUAGUAAUACAUUCAAUUUAAGAGAAGAUUAAAUAGUUAACUGGUGGCCAACUUCCUCUACUCCAUUCACAAAUUUGUUUGUAGAUCUAACUGAUGUACCAAGUGUACCAAAUAACAUAAAUUUUAUGGAAAAUUUUACCUCUGCAUGUUCGAAUGAGUAAUACGUUCUGUGUAAAUAUGUGUGGUAAACCAAUUUUCGGUUUGAUGGUGCGUGGCUACAAAAGGUUAAGAAUUUUUUGUACACUAGUGUAUUGUGGAUUUACACAUUGUAUUUAAAUUUUAUUAUUACUUCUUAAAUGAAGAUAUGUUUAAGACUACUUUAUUUACUUCACAUCCAUGAAAACCACUUCACAUAGAAUCUGUGGGUGACGUGUUAGCAUAUUUAUUCUUUUGUAAAUAGAUGUAUCAUGUAUGAUCUCACUGUGAGCUUGGCACACUGGACGGUAUUAUUUAAUGUAUACACUAAUUUAUUUGUAUUUGUGUCUGUUACUUUUUUUCCCUUUUAAAUGACCUUUGGGAGUUAUUUGUCUGUAAUAAUUUUACUCAUGAGUAUUGUCUUCAUUGCUGAAGUCUCUCAGUAUUUUUGGAAAAUGGGAAGUGAGCCAGUAAUGAUGUUUGGGUCCCACAAUCAACAGUAAUCAUAAUUUAAUUGGAGUUCUGAGUUAUUUCAAAACACUCAAGAAAGAUUAUUAUUUUGGGUGAAGCUGGGACACAUGCUUCUGUCCCUUUGGAAAUGUUCAGAGUUGUUUCAUUGUAGUAAGCACUGAAAAAUCUUUUAAUCAUUUAUAAUAGAGUUAGCACACCGAAAUUAUUUCUGACUGUUGAAGUCAGCAUUACUGUUGUGUGUAUCACACUACCGAAGCCAACUGACAAUUUGACCUAUCAGAAGUCCACUUGUAUGUCACUUACACUUUGUUUCCACAUUUGUUUGAUUCUGAUGUAUUAAGUUGUUAUAAAAAUUUUACUGAGGCAAUAAAAGUAUGUCGUAUUAGAA